rnacentral:misc_RNA from 1 species
GAUGAAGAACGUAGCGAAAUGCGAUACUUGGUGUGAAUUGCAGAAUCCCGUGAACCAUCGAGUCUUUGAACGCAAGUUGCGCCUGAAGCCAUUAGGCUGAAGGCACGUCUGCCUGGGCGUCACGCAUCGCGUCACCCCAUCCAACAAAGUUUUGCAUGUGGUGGAUUAUGACCUCCUGUGUCUUGAGAUGCAGUUGGUCGAAAUUUGAGUCCGGGCUUAGGACUUCACGACAAGUGGUGGUUGGACAACAACUCGCAUUGUGUCGUGGGCCAAACUCCCGCGUCUCCGUGUAGACCCUAAGUCGCGUGUUUUCCAACUCUCGGGUUGGGAAAUCGUGCAACGACCGCGACCCCAGGUCAGGCGGGAUUACCCGCUGAAUUUAAGCAUAUCAAUAAGCGGAGGA